rnacentral:rRNA from 1 species
CAAUAGCGUAUAUUAAAGUUGUUGCAGUUAAAAAGCUCGUAGUUGGACCUUGGACCUGGACAGGCGGUCCGCCUCACGGCGAGUACUGUCUUGCUGGGUCUUUCCUCUUGGUGAUCUGUUGUUUCGGCAGCAGGGAACCAGGGCCUUUACUUUGAAAAAAUUAGAGUGUUCAAAGCAGGCUCGACGCCGGAAUAUAUUAGCAUGGAAUAAUAAGAUAGGACGUGCGGUUCUAUUUUGUUGGUUUUUGGAAUCGCCGUAAUGAUUAAUAGGGACAGUCGGGGGCAUUAGUACUCACAUGCUAGAGGUGAAAUUCUUGGAUUUUGUGAAGACUAACUUCUGCGAAAGCAUUUGCCAAGGAUGUUUUCAUUAA